UGAGGACCGUAGUUGGGAACCACUGCCCCUAUACAGUGAAAACCGGGAUUCAUCCAUGAAGAGAACACAUCUACAAAGUGCCAGACUCCAUCGAAUGUGAGCAUUUGCCCACUCAAGUCGGUUACGACGAGGAACUGCAGUCAGGUCGAGACCCGGAUUGUAGGCACUCCGGAGAUCCAAUAUCGGGAAGAAGCGCACGCCAGGCAUAGAUUCCACCACAGAGGAAAUGAGAGGAAGUGGCGUUGAAGCAGGACCCAAGCACAGCCAUGAAGGACAAAUAAAGGAUGUAAUGGUGGAACAGAGGCAGUAAAACCAAAAACAAACAGCAGAAAAACAGGUAGGCAAAAACACAGACUGGCGGCAGGGACGGACAUAAACCAAGUACAAAACACAAUGACCGACAAGGGGCUAACAGAAGAUGGCAAACUAAAUAAGGGGCUAACGAGGACCAACAAGACACAUGUGCAAACAACAAGGACAGGCACAAGCUGUGGAGAAGGACAGAAACAAAAACCAAACAUGACAGGGCUACAUUCAAAGCCAAACCAAAACAGAACAGAACAGAAUGUUACACUCUCACUGUUCAAUUAAACCUACCAUUAAAAUUAUAAUGAUAAUUUCUUUGUCAGUGGGCAAACUUCCAAAAUCAGUAGGGGAUCACUGUAUAUAAAUUAUUUUUGGCAAUUGUUUUCAUAUUUCACAAGGAGGAUUGUCACUGCAUUUCAGCCAUGUAAAUACUUGUCAUUGUUUGUCUGUUCUCCAUAAAUACAUACACAAUUAUGAUGACACAGGCACACACACAAAAAUCUGAACAGAAAUGAAGGUUACACUUUGUGUAUCUGUAGAUGUUCUAUAGAUAUGAAUACUUAAACAUUCAACAAACUAUAAGUUGAUAAGCAACUGCUUGCUAGGAUUCAUAAGAAUGUGGCAGCCUAUGCUAGGGUAAUGCGAACAUUCAGACUGCCCACUCAACUGCUUUUUCUGAAUCUCGUGUUCCAUUUAGCAACUAGCCAUUCAACACGCCCUAAUCUCUAAGACGUGGGUGGUCAACAAGACAGCAUGAGGAGAGUUUGGGGGUAAGAUAAGUGCCAAGUGGUCGCAUGGUUGAACAUCGCUGCAGUGUACCAGAGUAUUUAGUCAGUGCCUGAAUGAACGAUUAAAAGUCCCCAGACAGGCAAUAAACUCUCUGCUGCAAAGUGCAAGAGAAGUUGUUUACCCAAUAAAAUGGACAGCCGCAUUGCAGACAGGGCUUACAUCACAAGCUGGCCUCAGCACAGAGCCGGGUGCACAAAUAUAGGACACAAAGUAUUUGAAUCCAUUGUUCCUAAGACGCAAAGGUGGGAGCCUACCAGAUGGCGAACAGACCCUGGCAAAAAGGUUUGUCACCUUGAAGAAAAACUGUUCAAAUCUCCAGCCAAUCAUUCCAUUAGCAAUACAUUCCGGCUUGACGUAGCAAAACAAGUAGACCACAAUGAAUUCAGUAGGAACAAUGUUUUACUUCCAAACAACUCAUGUCAUGAAGCCAAACUCUCUCAAUAGCAGCAAACUGUUUAAAAUUAAUACAUCGUGCUGAGCUCUCUUCAACUCUGCUGUCGUGGCUCGACUGUGUUCUUAGGUGUGCAUGCUAGUGAUUAGUCAUAGUCGGCAGACCCCAAUGUUAUAUACAGCUCCGGAUAAAAUUAAGAGACUACUGCACCUUUU